rnacentral:rRNA from 1 species
GACGAACGCUGGCGGCGUGCCUAACACAUGCAAGUCGAGCGGAGUCAGUAAGAGGAAGUUUUCGGAUGGAAUCUUAUUGAUUUAGCGGCGAACGGGUGAGUAACGCGUGAGCGACCAACCUUGCACAGGGGGAUAACGGACCGAAAGGUUCACUAAUACCGCAUGAGACCACGGUGUUGCAUGACACAGGGGUCAAAGGAGUAAUCCGGUGCAAGACGGGCUCGCGUCCGAUUAGGUAGUUGGAGGGGUAACGGCCCACCAAGCCGAUGAUCGGUAGCCGACCUGAGAGGGUGAUCGGCCACAUUGGAACUGAGAUACGGUCCAAACUCCUACGGGAGGCAGCAGUGGGGAAUAUUGGGCAAUGGGGGAAACCCUGACCCAGCAACGCCGCGUGAAGGGAGAAGGUUUUCGGAUUGUAAACUUCUGUCCUUGGUGAAGAGAAGAAGACGGUAGCCAAGGAGGAAGCCCCGGCUAACUACGUGCCAGCCGCCGCGGUAA